rnacentral:lncRNA from 1 species
GGGCUACUCCCCUUCCUCUCUCCUGGGCUUCCCAGACAACAGUGUGGAAAGGCUUGGAGUUAGGAUGAUGGUAGGAAAAGAAAACAGAUGACCCAAAAAAGCUAAAUCCGGCUUCAGCAUCAAACUGUGCAUAUAUAAAAAUAAUAAUAAUUAAAAAAAAAAAAAAGUCUGUGUUGAAAGAGUAAAAAUCAAGGCAAAGAUUUCUGAUAACAGGCUGCAGCCUUCUCCUCUGUACAUCCUCCACCACUGCUAUUCAUGAAUUUUGGGGCUGGGGAAGGGGGAGGAAGGAGUAGAUCUGCUACAGCAGCUUUCCCUAUCACACAAAACUGAUGUGUAACUAACUGAGCCACAAGGAUACGGGAAAGUUUUAUUUAUUAAAAAAAAAAAAAAAAAAAAAAAAAGUACUUCAAAAUAAAAAUGAUAAGUACUGCAUGGUAAUAUUGGAAGUAUUUAUAUACAUUGUUUUCUUUGUCUUUUGUUGAAAUGUCUCCCGGUCACUUGGUGGCACUUGGGGUCCCCUCCAGCGCCGUCAGCCCUGCUCCCCCCUUCCCCUCCCCGCUCUCACGCCUCAGUAGACGGAGCUGUUCCUUAUGCCGCAGCACAGCACCAUGCUCAGGAUCAUUUCGAAGAUCAUGAUCACGGCAACCACGAUGGCAGCAAUACCGAUCAGGUACAGCUUCCCAGAGAAGAGCUCGUCGAUCUUUUUGUGGCAGUUUUCCUCACGCUUCAGCAAGCCUUUCAGUAAGUCCUUCGAGCACAGGUCAUCUCUCCACAGAGGAGUGAGCGUUCCAACCAUAGUAUCAGGACCACAGCAGUCCAACGUUUCAUGGAAAGUCUUCACCACAGCCUUCCCGUUGCUCGAGUCCGAAUCCGCCAUGAGCGCCUGUUGGAACGCUUGGUCGUAGAACUGCUUCACGUCUUUGGCUAUCUGGUCUUUGUUGACAAACCCCCAGAUUCCAGCUGCAACCUCACAGGCAAACAGAAUCACCAGGCAGGUGAAGAACGUCCCCAGAAGGCACUGCGACUCCUGGAUUGCACCGUAGCAUCCUAGGAAGCCCACGAACAUCAUGACAGCACCAACUGCAAUCAGGAUGUAGAUUCCGACAUAGAAGGUGUUGGGAGCCUGCUUGUCACCCAGCUGCAGGUAGAGGAUGUUGGUGGUCUGCGAGUCAUGGCGGAGCCACAGGGCUACUCCCAGGAUGAUGCCCCCCGCCAGCCAGAAGAUGAAGUUGAAGACGAAGAGCAGAUAUUUGAUGCACUUGGUGCAGCCUUCCACCCCCAUGGCGGCUUCGGCGGCGGCAGCUCCCGGUCUGAGGCCAAGCUGGGCGGUGGCGGGGAGGGAGAGGAAGGGCCGCCCC